rnacentral:rRNA from 1 species
GACGUAGGGCGCGAGCGUUGUCCGGAUUUAUUGGGCGUAAAGAGCUCGUAGGCGGUUUGUCGCGUCUGCUGUGAAAGACCGGGGCUCAACUCCGGUUCUGCAGUGGGUACGGGCAGACUAGAGUGAUGUAGGGGAGACUGGAAUUCCUGGUGUAGCGGUGAAAUGCUUAGAUAUGACAUAGAACACCAAUUGCGAAGGCAGCUUACUACGGGAACAUUGACACUGAGGCACGAAAGCGUGGGGAUCAAACAGG